AGGUAGGCCAUCUCACUCUCGAAAAAGAGGGGCUGUCUUGGAGAGUUAACGUCGAGGAAACUCGGAGACAUUCUCAAAACAAAGGCUCCCGAAAUACCUCACCGAGAAGAGGCUGGAGCCGCCUUCCCGCCUGGGAGCCGGCGGCUCGCCGUCUCAACCCGGCCUGACGUACAGGAGCCAUGAAAACGGAAAACGCCGAAGCCACCUGAGAAAGCCUCUACCUAUAAACCCUGCCCCAAUUCUGGACCCUUCAUGAGCUCACUUUUUGUCAGGGCAAAUCCAGUCGCCGUCACUGACUCGGAAAUUCUUAGUCGACAUCUUGGACGCCGCCACCACAGCCACCCGCAGCUACGUUUUCGCAGGAGGAAGCGGGCAAGGGACUUUCGGCACUCCGGGGCUGUCCCCACGACGCCUGACUCUGACUCACCGCUGCACCAGGCUUAAUAAUGAGGACAUUCGGCCGGGAUUGAGUUUGAACGUUAUUGUCUAGAGUAAAAUGCCUGCGCGAUUGUUUCCUGGCCGAAUGAAUUUCAGGGCAAAUGUUUUCUCCGGAGCUUAACUAACAGGCGCCUCGCGGACAGCCCAAGCGGGAGGCCUUCGUGGCACUGGAAGCCUUGGAGAGCCCCCUACAGGCGGGAGGACCCGAAAGGAAAAUACUUCCGUUCAGAUGGGCGGAGCUAGGGGGCCGAGGCGGAAAUGGCUGUAAUUAGGUUUCAGUUGGGGAUGGCGGGUUGCUUCGGCUAGAUUUAGGGGGUGAGGGUCCCCUUUUCUUGGCCGUUUUGCCAGAAAUAGGAAGUUUUUCUUGGGAGUUGUAUCUGCCUUCCAUAGCUGCAACAGCUGACUAGGGCCCACACUGGGGGAAAAAGGGACACCACUAGGAGAAAGAGAAGAAGAGAAGUUGAUGUGGUCUAAUUCCUUGUCAACUGGACUUCAGCUCAAGUUUGAUUUCUCUGAAGCCAAGAACCCUCUUUGCUGGUCCAGUGAAAUACCCUCCGGGUCUUUGGAUUCAGCCAGCCUGCAUCAGAACCAAUAUGCAGCCUAGUGGAACUACUAAUCAUGGCCCUGACUGACUCUACCCUAUCUGGGAUACCAACAUGACCCAAGACUUGCCUCAUAGUUUCAUACAUAAUGUACAAUAAAAAAAUGGUAUAGUUGAACAGAAUAUGAAAAUGCUCAGAGGUUCCUUUCAGCUAACAACAAAAAUUACUUGAUGUAAAAUACUUGCUGGCUAGGUCAUAGAAGAUGAUAAAGUUUCUGUCUGUCGCCUUGGGAUGUUCACUCUUUAAACCCAGUUUCAUGCUGUGAGGAAGCCUGAUGACACAGAAAUGCUGUGAGUAGGUAUUUUGGCCGGCGGUCCUAGACAACACCAACAUCAACAGCCACAUGUCUGUGUGUGAGAGAGCCUUUCAGAUUACUCUAAGCUCAGACAGCCUGGUCAUCUGAAUGUGACUGCAUGAAAGACUUCAAGCAAGAAC